GAGGGUUACACAAUAUUAGAAUUUAUUUAUAUAAUUAUAUAUGGUUGUACAAGGGUACAACAGAGUCUAGAAUGUCAGUUUGGAGUGCUAUAGGCACUACUGUAGGUUAUCCGGCGUUGGGACAGACCCCAUACGUGGCGUUGGUUGUACCGGCGUAUGGUGAGAUGUGCAAUAUGAUGAUCAGGUCUCACGUGGCGUAGGUUAUCCGGCGUUGAGACAGGCCCCAUACGUGGCGUUGGUUGUACCGGCGUAUGGGGAGCUAUAUGAGAUUGUGUUGAGGUCGCACGUGGCGUAGGUUAUCCGGCGUGUCGACAGACCCCAUACGUGGCGUUGG
rnacentral:lncRNA from 1 species